GAUGAAGAACGCAGCGAAAUGCGAUACUUGGUGUGAAUUGCAGAAUCCCGUGAACCAUCGAGUCUUUGAACGCAAGUUGCGCCCGAAGCCGUCAGGCCGAGGGCACGCCUGCCUGGGCGUCACACGCCGUUGCCCCCCCCGCGCCCCGCACCCAACUCUUUGGGAGCGACCGCGGGGCGGGCUGAUGAUGGCCUCCCGUGCGCUCCGCCGCGCGGUUGGCCCCAAUACCGAGUCCCCGGCGACGUGCGCCACGACGAUCGGUGGUUGAGAGACCUCUGUCGCAAGUCGUGCGCGCCCGUCGCGUCACGCGGGCUCGCAUAGCGCCUCGCGCCGCACCCGGUGCGGAGCUUUCAACGCGACCCCAGGUCAGGCGGGGUUACCCGCUGAAUUUAAGCAUAUCAAUAAGCGGAGGA
rnacentral:misc_RNA from 1 species